rnacentral:rRNA from 1 species
CCCGACCGCUAUCGGGGUAGGGCUAAGCCAUGGGAGUCGAACGCCCCGCCGCUGCGGGGCGUGGCGGACGGCUGAGUAACACGUGGCUAACCUACCCUCGGGACGGGGAUAACCCCGGGAAACUGGGGCUAAUCCCCGAUAGGCGGGGAGGCCUGGAAGGGUUCCCCGCCGAAAGGGGCCGCGGGGGGUCAUCGCCCGCGGUCCGCCCGAGGAUGGGGCUGCGGCCCAUCAGGUAGUUGGCGGGGUAAUGGCCCGCCAAGCCGACGACGGGUAGGGGCCGUGAGAGCGGGAGCCCCCAGAUGGGCACUGAGACAAGGGCCCAGGCCCUACGGGGCGCACCAGGCGCGAAAACUCCGCAAUGCGGGCAACCGUGACGGGGCUACCCCGAGUGCCCCCCUUGAGGGGGCUUUUCCCCGCUGUAAACAGGCGGGGGAAUAAGCGGGGGGCAAGUCUGGUGUCAGCCGCCGCGGUAAUACCAGCCCCGCGAGCGGUCGGGGUGCUUACUGGGCCUAAAGCGCCCGUAGCCGGCUCGACAAGUCCCCCCCUAAAGCCCCGGGCUCAACCCGGGGAGUGGGGGGGAUACUGUCGGGCUAGGGGGCGGGAGAGGCCGAGGGUACUCCCGGGGUAGGGGCGAAAUCCACUAAUCCCGGGAGGACCACCAGUGGCGAAGGCGCUCGGCUGGAACGCGCCCGACGGUGAGGGGCGAAAGCCGGGGGAGCGAACCGGAUUAGAUACCCGGGUAGUCCCGGCUGUAAACGAUGCGGGCUAGGUGUUGGGCGGGCGAGAGAGCCCGCCCAGUGCCGCAGGGAAGCCGUUAAGCCCGCCGCCUGGGGAGUACGGCCGCAAGGCUGAAAGGCCCGUGGGGGGAGGUCCUCUCCUAAAUGGGGACCCCUUCCCGGGCCCAGUAGACUUAAAGGAAUUGGCGGGGGAGCACCACAAGGGGUGGAGCCUGCGGCUU